CACACACACACAGGCAGACAGACGCACACACACACACACACACACACACACACACACAGACAGUCAUACACACACACACAGGCAGACAGUCAUACACACACACACACACACACAGGCAGACAGUCACAUAGGCACACACAGGCAGACAGUUUUCUGAAAAAUAGUUGUCUGAAAAAUACGAGAUGAUUUACUUACAAAAAUUGUUGCAACUAAAAUGUAAUUUAUAACAAGAACAAUGUAUUUACAGAGACUGAUAUCUAAAAAAUCUAAACACCUUUAUUGUAGUUUAAAGACACAUUACUGUGAGUAUUAUUUUUUAAUUUGGAGGACAAAUCAGAAAAAGGUUGUGUGAACAUUAUUAAUGGGGAAUGAGUCAGAGAGAAAUCCUAAGUUCAAAACCUUAGCUGACGGAACCAAAUAUAACCCCAG